rnacentral:rRNA from 1 species
UACAUAGGGUGCGAGCGUUAAUCGGAAUUACUGGGCGUAAAGCGUGCGUAGGCGGUUAUUUAAGUCGGGUGUGAAAGCCCCGGGCUCAACCUGGGAAUUGCAUUCGAGACUGAAUAGCUAGGGUACGGUAGAGGGAAGUGGAAUUUCAGGUGUAGCGGUGAAAUGCGUAGAUAUCUGAAGGAACAUCAGUGGCGAAAGCGACUUCCUGGACCAAUACUGACACUGAAAAGCGAAAGCCAGGGGAGCAAACGGG